rfam:Otolemur garnettii contig168054, whole genome shotgun sequence.
UAACCUGUUUUUUUAAAAACCACAUUCAUAUUAAAAGAGAUUACAU